rnacentral:rRNA from 1 species
UACGAAGGGUGCAAGCGUUAAUCGGAAUUACUGGGCGUAAAGCGUGCGCAGGCGGUUUUGUAAGUCUGUCGUGAAAUCCCCGGGCUUAACCUGGGAAUUGCGAUGGAGACUGCAAGGCUAGAAUCUGGCAGAGGGGGGUAGAAUUCCACGUGUAGCAGUGAAAUGCGUAGAGAUGUGGAGGAACACCGAUGGCGAAGGCAGCCCCCUGGGUCAAGAUUGACGCUCAUGCACGAAAGCGUGGGGAGCAAACAGG